UGGCAACAAUUUUAAACUGUUCUGAAAUAAAAGGGAACACUUUAAAAUUCAAAUAGAUUUUCGAUCAAGUUGGCUAUGCUUUCAUUUGUCAUAAUAUUUCCUUUCGCCGGAAUAUUUAGUUCACUUUCGUUUCACUAAUUGACUGAGAAACAAGCUCCAGAGCACAACCUAAUUCAGAAAUGUCGGAGAAUUCGAGCGCGGAUGCAACGCCAUUUGGAAACGACGAGUUGACAGAGGAUCCUGAGCAACCGAGUGGAUCGAAGAAAAUACCUGCGAAGUUCCAGCCCCUCCUAGAGAAACUAGAGCGCCUGAAUAGAGAGAUGGCCUGGGAGG
rnacentral:misc_RNA from 1 species